AGUGGUCAUGAUAGGCAUUCUUGUUUUGUUCCUAUUCUCUAGGAAUGCUUUCAAGGUAUCCUGUAAACAACUUAUGGUAUUUUUAGUAAAUUUAGAAAUUUCCAGCAUUCCCAUUGCAGCUCAGCAGGUUAGGAACCCCACAUAGUAUCCGUGAGGAUUCAGUUUUGAUCCCUGUCCUCACUCAAUGGGUUGAGGAUCCAGCAUAGGUCAUCGAUGCAGCCUGGAUCCUGAGUUGCUGUGGCGUAGGCCGGCAGCUGCAGCUCUGCUUCAACCCCUAGCCUGGGAACUUCCAUGUGUCACAGUUGUAGCCAUAAAGAAAAAAAAGAAAAAGUUUUCCUUCUAUUCUUAAUUUGCUAAGAGUUUUUAAUAAUCAUAAAUUCUGUUGAAUUUUAUCAAAAACUUGUUCUGUAUUUAUUGAGAAAAAUGAUCAUUUUGCUGUCUUAAUUCCCUUACUGUGGUCAGUGAUCAGGAUUCCUUUCCUAUUCUUUAAACCAACCUAUUGAGAGGUAAGACCAUUCAAGUCAUGAUGUAAUUUGUUUUUAAUAGCUGGAUUUUGUUUAAGAUUUUUGCUUAAUAUCAAGAUUUAUUUCUUUAUAAAAUAGGUUGGAAAGUGGUUUUUUUCCCCUAGUUUCUGGAAGAGCUUCUGUAAGAUUUACAUUACUUCUUCCUUAGAUGUUUUAAUAUAUAUUUGAAGUGAACUGUGUUUGGUUGGGGUCUGGUGUGGUCUUUGUGGGACACUAACUCAGUUUUUUUAAUUAAUAAGAAUGUUUCUUAUAUAAUAUUGGUGAGUGAAAUAUUCCUGAGAAUCCAUCCAUUUCAUCUACAUUUUCAAGUUUUUUAGCACAGUUAAUCCUGCCCUCUUUUUAUCCUAUGCCAGACCUGUAUUGAUGUCCUUUUCAUUCCUGAUACUGUUUGUAGUAUACAGAUUUAUACCGCUGUUUAUUAUAUAAGGUAUUUGUAUCUUCUUUCUUUUUUAGUUGGCCAGUCUUAACCAGAAGCUUAUUGCUUUUACUGUUUUUUUUCCAAAGAGCCAAUAUUUUUCCUUCCAGUUUUAUUGAGAUAUAAUUGACAUAUAUAGCAUUAUAUAAGUUUUAGGUGUGCAGCAGAAUGAUUGGACUUACAUAAAUCAUGAAAUUAUUACCAUGAUAAUUUUAGUGAGCAUCCAUCAUCUCAUAGAUAAUAAAAGAAAAUUUUUUAAAAUAUUUUUCCUUGUGAUAAUAACUCUUAGGAGUUCUUAAAGCCGUCUUAACAAUUAUCAUCUGUGUGUGUGUGUGUGUGUGUGUGUGUGUGUGUGUGUGUGUGUACACACAGCAUUGUUAAUUAUAUUAGUCGUGUUGUACAUUACAUCCUUAGUACUGAUUUGCAUUAUAACUGGAAGAUUGUACCUUUGGACCACCUUCACCCAGUUCUCCCUCCCCCAUACCCUCACUUCUGGUAAAUAGGAAUCUGAUCUCUUCUUCUAUGAGGUUGGUUGAUUGGUUGGUUGGUUUUUUUAAGUAUAAUUGACCUACAACACUGUAGUGGUCCCUGGUGUACAACAUAGAACUUUGAUAUUUCUAUACAUCACAGAAUGGUCAGUAUAAGUCUAGCUACCAUCUGUCACCAUACGAAGAUAUUGUUAUUAUUGACUGUAUUCCCCAUGUUGUGCAUUUCAGCCUGGUGACUCAUUUAUUUGGUAUGGAAUUUUGUACCUCUUAAUUUCCCUCACCUAUUUCACUCAUCCCUGUACCCAUCUCCCCUCUGGCAACCACCUGUUUGUUUUCUGAAUAUAUGACUGUUUCUGUUAUAUUUGUUCAUUUGUUUUGUUUUUUAGACUCCACAUACAAGUAAAAUCUUGUAAUAU
rnacentral:lncRNA from 1 species